GAUGAACGCUGGCGGCGUGCCUAAUACAUGCAAGUCGAGCGAACAGACGAGGAGCUUGCUCCUCUGACGUUAGCGGCGGACGGGUGAGUAACACGUGGAUCACCUACCUCUAAGACUGGGAUAACUUCGGGAGACCGGAGCUAAUACCGGAUAAUAUAUUGAACCGCAUGGUUCAAUAGUGAAAGACGGUUUUGCUGUCACUUAUAGAUGGAUCCGCGCCGCAUUAGCUAGUUGGUAAGGUAACGGCUUACCAAGGCAACGAUGCGUAGCCGACCUGAGAGGGUGAUCGGCCACACUGGAACUGAGACACGGUCCAGACUCCUACGGGAGGCAGCAGUAGGGAAUCUUCCGCAAUGGGCGAAAGCCUGACGGAGCAACGCCGCGUGAGUGAUGAAGGUCUUCGGAUCGUAAAACUCUGUUAUUAGGGAAGAACAAAUGUGUAAGUAACUAUGCACGUCUUGACGGUACCUAAUCAGAAAGCCACGGCUAACUACGUG
rnacentral:rRNA from 1 species